rnacentral:rRNA from 1 species
AGAUGACGAGUGGCGGACGGGUGAGUAAUGCUUGGGAACUUGCCUUUGCGAGGGGGAUAACAGUUGGAAACGACUGCUAAUACCGCAUAAUGUCUACGGACCAAACGGGGCUUAGGCUCCGGCGCAAAGAGAGGCCCAAGUGAGAUUAGCUAGUUGGUAAGGUAAUGGCUUACCAAGGCAACGAUCUCUAGCUGUUCUGAGAGGAAGAUCAGCCACACUGGAACUGAGACACGGUCCAGACUCCUACGGGAGGCAGCAGUGGGGAAUAUUGCACAAUGGGGGAAACCCUGAUGCAGCCAUGCCGCGUGUGUGAAGAAGGCCUUCGGGUUGUAAAGCACUUUCAGUUGUGAGGAAAAGUUAGUAGUUAAUACCUGCUAGCCGUGACGUUAACAACAGAAGAAGCACCGGCUAACUCCGUGCCAGCAGCCGCGGUAAUACGGAGGGUGCGAGCGUUAAUCGGAAUUACUGGGCGUAAAGCGCACGCAGGCGGUUUGUUAAGCUAGAUGUGAAAGCCCCGGGCUCAACCUGGGAUAGUCAUUUAGAACUGGCAGACUAGAGUCUUGGAGAGGGGAGUGGAAUUCCAGGUGUAGCGGUGAAAU